CUUGGGUGAGGCUCACGCCGCGCAGUGAUGUGAUGUGAAGUCAUGAGGUGGCUUCAACGGUAGCUGGCUGCCAGCUAGCUCUAUAUAAGAAAAGCAGGCACCGGCCCUGGCCAGUGCUUGGGUGAGGAUCACGCCGCGCAGUGAUGUGAUGUGAAGUCAUGAGGUGGCUUCAACGGUGGCUGGCUGCCAGCUGGCUCUAUAUAAGAAAAGCAGGCACCGUGCCUGGCCAGUGCUUGGGUGAGGCUCACGCCGCGCAGUGAUGUGAUGUGAAGUCAUGAGGUGGCUGGCUGCCAGCUGGCUCUAUAUAAGAAAAGCAGGCACCGUGCCUGGCC